rnacentral:rRNA from 1 species
AGAAUCAACGCUGGCGGCGUGCCUAACACAUGCAAGUCGCACGAGAAAGUGGAGCAAUCCAUGAGUACAGUGGCGCACGGGUGAGUAACACGUGAAUAAUCUACCUCCGAGUUGGGAAUAACUGAGAGAAAUCUUAGCUAAUACCGCAUAAUACCCACGGGUCAAAGCAGCAAUGCGCUUGGAGAGGAGUUCGCGGCCGAUUAGCUAGUUGGCGGGGUAAUGGCCCACCAAGGCGAUGAUCGGUA